GAUGAAGAACGUAGCGAAAUGCGAUAAGUAGUGUGAAUUGCAGAAUUCAGUGAAUCAUCGAAUCUUUGAACGCACAUUGCGCCCCUUGGUAUUCCAUGGGGCAUGCCUGUUCGAGCGUCAUUUGUACCUUCAAGCCUUGCUUGGUGUUGGGUGUUUGUCUCGCCUCUGCGCGCAGACUCGCCUCAAAACAAUUGGCAGCCGGCGUAUUGAUUUCGGAGCGCAGUACAUCUCGCGCUUUGCACUCACAACGGCGGCGUCCAAAAGUACAUUUUUACACUCUUGACCUCGGAUCAGGUAGGGAUACCCGCUGAACUUAAGCAUAUCAAAAGCGGAGGA
rnacentral:misc_RNA from 1 species